AGCGCCUCCCCACCCCCCAAAUCCUCAACUCCUACUCCUCCCUCCACCGCCUCCCCCUCCUCACCCUCUCCCUCCUCAACCUCACCCUCGACCUCUCCCCCCACUCUACUCCCUCUCCCUCCACGGCCUCCACCACCAAAAAGCAAUUUAGAAGCUCAAGAUCGCCGGGGAUCCAGCAAACCCUUCUUCCCCGUCGAAUCCCGUCACCAGCUCUCCGGGCUCCGCUGCCCUCCCCUCUCAAAAUCCGCGUCGUCGUCGUCGUCGGCCAUGGCGAGCUGCGGCUAUCACUCUCCUCAGUUCUCAGAGAUUGAAGGGUAAAUUUGCUUUGUAUUGGGAGCUUCUGUCUCGGUCUCUUAUUCACAAAUAGAAUGUGGACAAUGCCUGAAGCAAAAGAUAUCAUCAGGACAACUGGGACUGGAGAAAAUAAGAUGAAGCUUGUUUCUAGCGAUUGCAAUUCACGAAUUAUGACUGAAAUGCAAGAGCCUAAGAGCAUCAUAGGAAAAGCUCCCAAGACCCAUACUACUAUACAGUAAGUACAGUUUCAUUAUCUAUAGAGGAAAUUCUCAUUUGUGCAUGCUAGGUAGCAAUAAAGUUCGAGCAUAGAAGCAGUAAAGGCUGAAAUUAUGGACCACCUUAUGAGUGGCAAGUAUACAAGUAAGCAUUCUUAUGCUUGUUUCCUGAAUUAUGGUUGGUAGCCUAAUAACAGAACUUAUGUGAUGUACAUUCAUUUAUGCAAUACCCUUGGCUUUUCUUCAUGGGGUACCUCGUGUUUAUUACAAGGGUCGCCAAGGGGACUAUUAUGUCAUGGUGAUGGAUAUGUUGGGAGUCUAUGGGAUGUUUGGUAUGGGAUGUUUGGAAUAAUAACUCCUAUGCAAUGUCAACAGAAAUGGUUGCUUGUAUUGCUAUUGAAGCAAUCUCUAUUUUAGAGAAGAUGCAUUCUAAAGGGUAGGCCUGCUCUUUACGCUAUGAAGAUGCAGAAUCUCAAUUUAUGUAAAAGUUUGUAAACAAUUUAUGUA